AAUAAAACCUUUAAAUCCCUACGUCCGAGUAUCAGAGAAUACUUAAGCCUGCGAUGUACUUGCACAUUUAGGCAAGUUUGGAGGGACGGAAAGUGGACCCAAGGCAGGAAACGCACUGGGACCCUGAACCUGCAUCCUGAAAAUCUGGGGAAAGAUCUGCACCUAGAAGGAGACCCUGGCAGGACUUUCCAUCUGAAAUUCACUUACCUGGGGUGGAGUGAAAGAAGAGGAGGAGGGGGGGAGGGAGGGAGAGGGGAAGGGAGGAGACGGGAGCGAGACGGGGAGAGGGGCACUGCGAGGCUGAGGAAGGCGCGUGGCUCUAAGGCAGGAGCAGGGCCCCCUUUGUCUGGCAGACCCUGCGGGGGGAGCCUCCGGGCGCAGCCCUCCUUCCCCGGUCCCCGCGUAGGCGAGCGGCGAGGUGGAGUCCGCGCGGCGGAGCCCGAGCCCCAGCCCGAGCCCGAGCCCGAGCCCGAGCCCGAGCGCGCUCCGGCUCCGGGUUUUCCCCGCCGCCCGGGCCCCCCGCCGGGCCCCCUCCCCGCCCCCGGCGCUCGCGGCGCUCGCCGGCCCCGCGCUCAUUCCGGCCUCGGCUCGGGCCCCGGCGGCGGAGCGGCCACCCGGGCUCUCGCGGCUCCCCCUGCCCACUCCGCUGCGCGCUCGCCCCGGCGGCCAGGGGAGGACGAGGAAGAAGAAGAAAAAGAAAGCGGAGGGGGCGGGGUGGGAGGGCUGGAUAUAAGGCUCGGCUGGGGGGAUGGUGGAAGAUCCUCGGCGCGUUCAGCAGCGUCUCCUCUGCGGCGGCGGCGGCGGCGGGAGGGGCGGCCUCGGCUGUGACCGCCGCGUGUCGGCCGCUGCCGCCGCGCUCCCCGGGCUGCUGCUCCACGCUCCGCCGGACUCCGAACUUGUGCGCCCGCGGACCGGCGGGGACGUCUGAGCCCUCCGCGCUCCCGGCUCCGCUGCUGCCGCGCUGGGGCGCUGGGAGCCAGAAGACGCCGAGGAAGACCACGCAUUUGGUGCUGCUGCUGCUGCUGCUGCUGCUGCUGCUUUGCUCCUUUUUCUUUUUCUGAGCUCUCUUCCCCCUUCUCCCUCCUCCGCGGCCGGGUAGUAGAAGAAAGGGAGGAGGAGAGACUUUGUGUUGCUGUUGUUUCCCUGGCCGGGGGUGCGUGCGUGUGGGGGGGUCUCCGCCCUCCCGCCGCCGUCUCCGCGCCCGGGGGUCUGCUCCGGGGCCCGCCGGUCCUUUUGCCCCGGGCUCCAUGGCUGGAUUGUGGACCCUGCACCCGGC
rnacentral:lncRNA from 12 species